GCGAGGAUGGCGGAAUUGGUAGACGCGCCGGAUUUAGGAUCCGGUGGGCCGAGCCCGUGGGGGUUCGAGUCCCCCUCCUCGCA
rnacentral:tRNA from 1 species